AAAGCAAAAUUUACAGACAGCAGUUCAUUCCUUGCGGUAUGCCUUUCUAAAGACAUCUUCCAUCCAGUAGGUAAGAC
rfam:Felis catus isolate Cinnamon breed Abyssinian chromosome A1, whole genome shotgun sequence.